rnacentral:rRNA from 1 species
AGCGAACGCUGGCGGCAGGCCUAACACAUGCAAGUCGAACGAACUCUUCGGAGUUAGUGGCGGACGGGUGAGUAACACGUGGGAACGUGCCUUUUGGUUCGGAAUAACUCAGGGAAACUUGUGCUAAUACCGAAUGUGCCCUUCGGGGGAAAGGUUUAUCGCCAUUAGAGCGGCCCGCGUCUGAUUAGCUAGUUGGUGAGGUAACGGCUCACCAAGGCGACGAUCAGUAGCUGGUCUGAGAGGAUGACCAGCCGCACUGGGACUGAGACACGGCUCAGACUCCUACGGGAGGCAGCAGUGGGGAAUCUUGCGCAAUGGGCGAAAGCCUGACGCAGCCAUGCCGCGUGAAUGAUGAAGGUCUUAGGAUUGUAAAAUUCUUUCACCGGGGACGAUAAUGACGGUACCCGGAGAAGAAGCCCCGGCUAACUUCGUG